AUAUUGGUCAAUGGGUGCAAGCCUGAACCAGCCAUCCCGCGUGAAGGACGACUGCCCUAUGGGUUGUAAACUUCUUUUGUAUAGGGAUAAACCUACCCUCGUGAGGGUAGCUGAAGGUACUAUACGAAUAAGCACCGGCUAACUCCGUGCCAGCAGCCGCGGUAAUACGGAGGGUGCAAGCGUUAUCCGGAUUUAUUGGGUUUAAAGGGUCCGUAGGCGGACUUAUAAGUCAGUGGUGAAAGCCUGUCGCUUAACGAUAGAACUGCCAUUGAUACUGUAAGUCUUGAGUAUAUUUGAUGUAGCUGGAAUAAGUAGUGUAGCGGUGAAAUGCAUAGAUAUUACUUAGAACACCAAUUGCGAAGGCAGGUUACCAAG
rnacentral:rRNA from 1 species